GUAUAUUAAAAAUGUACAGCACUUUUUGGGUGGUUUGGGAUGUCAGCAUAUUGUCCCAGCAGUCUGGGUUCUCAUGCUGAUGGGAAAAAGGGAAAAUAACUUGGAAAAUACACCCAUGAUUUUAUUUCUUGCUUUCAUACUUAUGGAAUAAUAUUUACUUCACAUGCUACCAAGUUACAUUGAUUGGAAGAAAAAGGCCAUGAGUUAUAGACCAGGGAUCAGCGUGUCGUGUGGGCAAGUUUCAUUGGAAAAUACUAGUUGUGCUUUCUGGGCACCUGCAUUUUAUGUCUACUCAAAUGACAGAAACUAACUGAACUGCCACAACUGCAGAUUAGUUCCAGUAGUUUUCCAAAUGGCCAUUCAGUGAUUAAGUGGCAGAUCUCGUUUAGAAAAGGAUUUGGGGUGGGGUAGUGGCCUCACUGAGGACUCGGUGGCUCAGCAGCUAAGACACUGAACUUGUUGAUCGAAAGGUCAUCAGUUCAGCUGUUCAAAUCCCUAGUGCUGCGUAAUGGGGUGAGCUCAUGUUACUAGUCCCAGCUUCUGCCAACCUAGCAGUUCAAAAGCACGUAAAAAGUGCAAGUAGAAAUAUAGGGACCACCUUUGGUGGGAAGGUAACAGCGUUCCAUGCGCCUUUUGCGUUUAGUUAUGCUUGCCACAUGACCACAUAUAUGUCUUUGGACAGUGCUGGCUCUUCAACUUUGAAACGGAGAUGAGUACCGCCCCCUAGAGUUGGGAACGACUAGCAUAAUGUGCGAGGGGAACCUUUACCUUUACUAAUGGCCUCCACUGGAGAAUACAGUAAUAUGUUUGCUAAUCAUUUGUAUAAGGCGGAAAACAAAGUCUUCAAAUAAGUGUGAAGUAAUUCCAAAAAGUAAUUAUAUGCAUUUUAGAAAAUGUAUACUGCACGCGGUAUCCUGAUAUUACCAAAUUGUCAAAUAAGGUCCUACUUCUAUAGAUUCUAUAGGUCAUCUAAAGAUAACGUUUGCUUUCCAACUGUAUUGGUAAACCAGACCAGAAGCACUAGUGAUUUAAUGCAUCAUAAUGACACAAGGUUGAAGACAGUUACGCUGUAUAAUAAAACAAAUGUUGAGUCGUAAGUUCAGUAACUGAAAGAUAUUAUAAACCUGGAUAAUGCCAAGCAAAUUAACAUUUAAUGGCACUUCUACCCACUUACUUAGGCAACAUUUGUUUUUCUGCCCAUGUAGUGCAUACGAGAUGUCUUACAGCUCCCUCUUCCAAACGUUUCUUAACUCAUUUUCAGUCUCUUAAAAAAAAGCCCUCUUCAUGGGAAUCACUCUGUAAAGUAAAUCUCAAUAUAGUUAACUGGUUGAACUUAAAUUUCUAAUGGUAGAAACAAAAUUUAAAAGUAAAGCCUCAUUUAUGAUUUGAUUGAUUAUGUGCCAUCAAGUCAGUGUUGACUUUUAGCAACCACAUCAGAGGUGGGUUUCAGCAGGUUCUGACCAGUUCUGGAGAACCGGUAGUGGAAAUUCUGACUGGCCCUGCCCCAUCUAUUCUCUGCCUCCCAAGUCCCAGUUGAUCGGGAGGAAAUGGGGAUUUUGCAGUAACCUUCUCCUGGAUUGGGGAGGGAAUGUAGAUUUUACAGUAUCCUUCCCCUGCCACCAAGCCACUCCCACCAAGCCAUGCCACUCCCACCAAGCCACACCCACAUAACCGGUAGUAAAAUAAUUUAAAACCCACCACUGAACCACAUAGAUUUUUUUCUUCAUGUCAGACCUCUAGUCUGGCCCUAACGUGGUCCUUCAUGUCUUCUAAAAGUGCAUCCAUCAUCAAUGUAAAUUGAGUUCAUCUACUAGCUGCUGAUUGAAAGAAGAGUAGGGACUGUGGACUAGUGGUAGGUUGCCCCCGGUUCGGACCGGUUCACAAGAACCAGUAGUAAAACUGGUGGGAGGCUCCAUCCAUCGACCCUAACGUCAUCGGGAAGCAUCUGCGCAGGCCCCGUUAUGAACCGGCAGUAAAGGGUUUGCAAACUAGAUAAGAAUGGUGGAUUGUUUACUGAGUAUUUCAUCAACCUGAUUAAUCCUCAUGCAGAAUCUUUUGAAACUAAAACAAUUCGAAGAGAUCAGUUCAAAAUCAGGUCAUUCCAGCCUGCCAGAUUUCCCUGGGAACAUCUAGGAAAGCCUGCUGGACUUCAUCGAGCUGUACUGUUUGGAACAACAGGAAAAGCUGGGCUGCUGUGAUGCCGCGCGUGCCCACAGAGAGGGCUCUGCAUGCCACCUCUGGCACAUGUGCCAUAGGUUCGCCACCAGAGCUGUGUAUCUGUCAAGAGACUGAAGAUGGAAAUAAGAUGGACACCUGCAGCAUAAACACUAAUUUGGAACAAGUCUCACUGAACUUCACAAGAACUAUUUCUGAAAAGCCUUGCAAAGGAUAACUGGUUGAAUGUUAUUAUUCUCUGCAUUUUGACCAGGUGGAAAUGCUACUUGUGAUUCUGCCUGCAACACCACAGAACCUUUGAGUUAGGAUCUGUUUUAGCGGUAGGAAUGUUAUAAAAGAGAGUCUUCAUUUAUUUUAACUUAAUCUAUGUACUGAUCCAGGCAGAAUGAUUAACUGGAUAAAAUAAUUAUGUAGGCAGUUUUAGAACAGGAUGACUUCACCAUGAAGCUUGUUUGACAACAAUAAACCAAUUAUAGUCUGCAUCAGCCUGAUCCUGCUCUUUAGGUUAUCAUAUAACAACAACAACAACAACAACAACAACAAUAAUGUGAAGAUCUUGUGGGACUUUCAAAUACAGACGGAUCGUCACUUGGAACACAACACACCAGAUAUCACAGUUGUCGAAAACCAAAAUGUACAAUUUAUUGACAUCGUGGUACCAGGAGACGCCAGAGUCGAAGAAAAAGAACUGGAAAAAAACAUGAAAUGUCGCGACCUGGCCAUAGAAACUACACGGCUAUGGAUGAAACAUGUCACAGUGAUACCCAUUGUCAUCAGGGCACUUGGUACGAUGUCCAAGAAUUUCACAAAACACUUCAAGAAAUUGCAGCUUCCUGCAAUAACACCAGACUUGAUCAGUUUGAUCAGACUUUAUAUUAAGUAUCUUUUUUGAUCCUUGGAUUCUUGCUUUUCUUCUAUAAAUUCUGUUGCUUUUUGUAAGAAAAUUCAGUCUGAUCAAACUUGACUUUCAACAAUAGGAGGUCUAUACAUCUUCACAGGUAAAUAAUAUGUUGGAAAAGCUAGUGGGGCUUCACAUAUUGCCUGUGUGCUUAAACCAUCUCAUAUCACUUGGAAGUAGAUUGCCAAAACUUGGCUAGAUUUAUUAGCUGCUGUGUAAGUAAUGGCAAGAAUGUUAAAUGAGAGGUUGCUAAGUUACAAAUCAGGUAAAAUAAAGGCAUGUUACCAGAUGCGUAUAAAUAUUCUGCCUUAAUUUCAACAGAAGGAUGUAAUGCAGCCUUAACUGAAGAUGCUACCCCAUAGUUUAAUUUAUAAUAUGGAUUUAUCCCUUGCUCCCUGUUGGGCCUUACCUCCAGCUAUAUUUCAGGGAGGCAUUACUGCGUUCAACUCUUAUUACAACGUAUCAUGUAUGAGAGAAAUAAUGUCUAAUACCCAGCACGGGGUUUUUUAAUGGUAAUACGCUUAUCGUACAAGCUCCUCCCAAGACAAGCUGUGCUGGCCUAGAGUAUGAGCUCCUGGCAAAUACACACAAAUCUUAAUAUCCUGACAAGGAAAACAGCUUCCUUUUUGCAAGUCUGUAGGACAGAGAUGCCUUCGUAUGCUCAGAUAAUGUAGACAUUAAUCCACUGGCUGUGGGAAUGGGAUUUGAACUGUGCAAAUUCUAGUUCAAAGGAGAAAGCUUUCUUAGUCAUGAUGUCUUUGUUAUUGGUGUUUAACUAAUACAUGAUUUAAUAAAAGCUACACGGCUCUGAUUGGCUUACCAAA